AUUGAACGCUGGCGGCAUGCCUUACACAUGCAAGUCGAACGGUAACGGGCCUUCGGGUGCCGACGAGUGGCGAACGGGUGAGUAAUGUAUCGGAACGUACCUGUCAGUGGGGGAUAACGUAGGGAAAGUUACGCUAAUACCGCAUAUUCUGUGAGCAGGAAAGCAGGGGAACGCAAGACCUUGCGCUGAUUGAGCGGCCGAUAUCAGAUUAGCUAGUUGGUGAGGUAAAGGCUCACCAAGGCGACGAUCUGUAGCGGGUCUGAGAGGAUGAUCCGCCACACUGGAACUGAGACACGGUCCAGACUCCUACGGGAGGCAGCAGUGGGGAAUUUUGGACAAUGGGGGCAACCCUGAUCCAGCCAUGCCGCGUGAGUGAAGAAGGCCUUCGGGUUGUAAAGCUCUUUCGGCCGGGAAGAAAUCGGAUCAGCUAAUACCUGGUGCGGAUGACGGUACCGGCAUAAGAAGCACCGGCUAACUACGUGCCAGCCGCCGCCGUAAUAC
rnacentral:rRNA from 1 species